UACGGAGGGUGCGAGCGUUGUCCGGAAUCAUUGGGCGUAAAGAGCUUGUAGGCGGUUUGUCGCGUCUGCUGUGAAAAUCCGGGGCUCAACCCCGGACUUGCAGUGGGUACGGGCAGGCUAGAGUGUGGUAGGGGAGACUGGAAUUCCUGGUGUAGCGGUGGAAUGCGCAGAUAUCAGGAGGAACACCGAUGGCGAAGGCAGGUCUCUGGGCCACUACUGACGCUGAGAAGCGAAAGCAUGGGGAGCGAACAGG
rnacentral:rRNA from 1 species